rnacentral:rRNA from 4 species
GGGUUGUGAGGUUAAGCGACUAAGCGUACACGGUGGAUGCCCUGGCAGUCAGAGGCGAUGAAGGGCGUGCUAAUCUGCGAUAAGCGCCGGUAAGGUGAUAUGAACCGUUAUAACCGGCGAUACCCGAAUGGGGAAACCCAGUGUGACUCGUCACACUAUCAUUAACUGAAUCCAUAGGUUAAUGAGGCGAACCGGGGGAACUGAAACAUCUAAGUACCCCGAGGAAAAGAAAUCAACCGAGAUUCCCCCAGUAGCGGCGAGCGAACGGGGAGGAGCCCAGAGCCUGAAUCAGCAUGUGUGUUAGUGGAAGCGUCUGGAAAGGCGCGCGAUACAGGGUGACAGCCCCGUACACAAAAGCGCAUGUGCUGUGAGCUCGAUGAGUAGGGCGGGACACGUGGUAUCCUGUCUGAAUAUGGGGGGACCAUCCUCCAAGGCUAAAUACUCCUGACUGACCGAUAGUGAACCAGUACCGUGAGGGAAAGGCGAAAAGAACCCCGGCGAGGGGAGUGAAAAAGAACCUGAAACCGUGUACGUACAAGCAGUGGGAGCACAGGUUUACCUGUGUGACUGCGUACCUUUUGUAUAAUGGGUCAGCGACUUAUAUUCUGUAGCAAGGUUAACCGAAUAGGGGAGCCGGAGGGAAACCGAGUCUUAACUGGGCGUUAAGUUGCAGGGUAUAGACCCGAAACCCGGUGAUCUAGCCAUGGGCAGGUUGAAGGUUGGGUAACACUAACUGGAGGACCGAACCGACUAAUGUUGAAAAAUUAGCGGAUGACCUGUGGCUGGGGGUGAAAGGCCAAUCAAACCGGGAGAUAGCUGGUUCUCCCCGAAAGCUAUUUAGGUAGCGCCUCGUGAACUCAUCUCCGGGGGUAGAGCACUGUUUCGGCUAGGGGGCCAUCCCGGCUUACCAACCCGAUGCAAACUGCGAAUACCGGAGAAUGUUAUCACGGGAGACACACGGCGGGUGCUAACGUCCGUCGUGAAGAGGGAAACAACCCAGACCGCCAGCUAAGGUCCCAAAGUCAUGGUUAAGUGGGAAACGAUGUGGGAAGGCCCAGACAGCCAGGAUGUUGGCUUAGAAGCAGCCAUCAUUUAAAGAAAGCGUAAUAGCUCACUGGUCGAGUCGGCCUGCGCGGAAGAUGUAACGGGGCUAAACCAUGCACCGAAGCUGCGGCAGCGACACUGUGUGUUGUUGGGUAGGGGAGCGUUCUGUAAGCCUGCGAAGGUGGCCUGUGAGGGUUGCUGGAGGUAUCAGAAGUGCGAAUGCUGACAUAAGUAACGAUAAAGCGGGUGAAAAGCCCGCUCGCCGGAAGACCAAGGGUUCCUGUCCAACGUUAAUCGGGGCAGGGUGAGUCGACCCCUAAGGCGAGGCCGAAAGGCGUAGUCGAUGGGAAACGGGUUAAUAUUCCCGUACUUGGUGUUACUGCGAAGGGGGGACGGAGAAGGCUAUGUUGGCCGGGCGACGGUUGUCCCGGUUUAAGCGUGUAGGUGUGUGUUCCAGGUAAAUCCGGUUCACUUUAACACUGAGGCGUGACGACGAGGCACUACGGUGCUGAAGCAACAAAUGCCCUGCUUCCAGGAAAAGCCUCUAAGCAUCAGGUAACAUCAAAUCGUACCCCAAACCGACACAGGUGGUCAGGUAGAGAAUACCAAGGCGCUUGAGAGAACUCGGGUGAAGGAACUAGGCAAAAUGGUGCCGUAACUUCGGGAGAAGGCACGCUGACACGUAGGUGAAGUGAUUUACUCAUGGAGCUGAAGUCAGUCGAAGAUACCAGCUGGCUGCAACUGUUUAUUAAAAACACAGCACUGUGCAAACACGAAAGUGGACGUAUACGGUGUGACGCCUGCCCGGUGCCGGAAGGUUAAUUGAUGGGGUCAGCGCAAGCGAAGCUCCUGAUCGAAGCCCCGGUAAACGGCGGCCGUAACUAUAACGGUCCUAAGGUAGCGAAAUUCCUUGUCGGGUAAGUUCCGACCUGCACGAAUGGCGUAAUGAUGGCCAGGCUGUCUCCACCCGAGACUCAGUGAAAUUGAACUCGCUGUGAAGAUGCAGUGUACCCGCGGCAAGACGGAAAGACCCCGUGAACCUUUACUAUAGCUUGACACUGAACAUUGAGCCUUGAUGUGUAGGAUAGGUGGGAGGCUUUGAAGUGUGGACGCCAGUCUGCAUGGAGCCGACCUUGAAAUACCACCCUUUAAUGUUUGAUGUUCUAACGUGGACCCGUUACCCGGGUUGCGGACAGUGUCUGGUGGGUAGUUUGACUGGGGCGGUCUCCUCCUAAAGAGUAACGGAGGAGCACGAAGGUUGGCUAAUCCUGGUCGGACAUCAGGAGGUUAGUGCAAUGGCAUAAGCCAGCUUGACUGCGAGCGUGACGGCGCGAGCAGGUGCGAAAGCAGGUCAUAGUGAUCCGGUGGUUCUGAAUGGAAGGGCCAUCGCUCAACGGAUAAAAGGUACUCCGGGGAUAACAGGCUGAUACCGCCCAAGAGUUCAUAUCGACGGCGGUGUUUGGCACCUCGAUGUCGGCUCAUCACAUCCUGGGGCUGAAGUAGGUCCCAAGGGUAUGGCUGUUCGCCAUUUAAAGUGGUACGCGAGCUGGGUUUAGAACGUCGUGAGACAGUUCGGUCCCUAUCUGCCGUGGGCGCUGGAGAACUGAGGGGGGCUGCUCCUAGUACGAGAGGACCGGAGUGGACGCAUCACUGGUGUUCGGGUUGUCAUGCCAAUGGCACUGCCCGGUAGCUAAAUGCGGAAGAGAUAAGUGCUGAAAGCAUCUAAGCACGAAACUUGCCCCGAGAUGAGUUCUCCCUGAGACUUAGAGUCUCCUGAAGGAACGUUGAAGACGACGACGUUGAUAGGCCGGGUGUGUAAGCGCAGCGAUGCGUUGAGCUAACCGGUACUAAUGAACCGUGAGGCUUAACCUUACAACGCCGAAG